GGCUCUGUGGUGAAGUUCAUGUUGAGUUGCAAGCUCAUUGAUGUACACUGAGAGUAUACCGGAGUCU
rnacentral:tRNA from 1 species